ensembl:lncRNA
UGUUAUGAUGUAGUACUGGGUUAAACCAGAUGGUGGUGGUCUCCGCUCUCACUCCAUAAAUCACCCACUCAUCUGUCUUCUCUAGUGUUAUUCAUUAAAGCGGCCCAGAAUAAUAAGUCCCUGAGAAACUGGGAACACGUGAUGAAGUUAAUAAUGUAUAUAUAUUUUAUCCCCUCCCUUUCACUCUGCUACUCUCCCUACAUGUCCUCCAAAAGCUUUAGCCCUCCCAGUCGUGCUCCCGUGCACACACACACACACACACACACACCUUUGCCAUGAAUGAGGUAAUCACAUUUGACAUAUUUCUGUUUUGCUCUACUUCGUAACAAAAGGUGAAUUAUUCUCAGUUAGAUCCGACAGCUCCAUACGUACCGGCCAUAGCGCUGUAGGACUAUUACACUAUUUAAUGUGAUGACAGAGUCAAGCUUUCAUCUCCUCAUGCGGUCUGUUUGGAUGGAAUGUAGAUUUCAUUUGCAGAUCAAAUCCACUUGCAUAUUUCUUCAUGUCGCAGCCAAAAGACAAAAAGACAAUCACCUUCUCAAAAAGAAAGCAGUAAGUCGUCAUGGAGCCCAUGUCAAACACUUCAUGUGUGCACGGAUGCUAUAUGCAGACAAUGCAGAUUUCAAAGCCUAGCUGCUCGAGUGCCGUCAUACUUCCUAGAAAUCAAACAGGUCACAGCGCUACUUAUUAGGUGAGUAAGUUUUUUUCUUUGUUGUUGUUUUUUUUGGGUAAGGUAUUCACUACAAAGCCUAACUCAAGCUCCUGGAAGAUGCAUGAAAAAUGUAAUGUAGUCAGAGCCAAAGAAUAAUCUCUCUCUCUUUCUCUCUCUCUCGCCUGCUCUUUUUCCUCCGGUCUCUCACCCUCCCUCUCUUGAUCAUUCACUUCUCACUUCUCUCUGGUGCCCUCCUUCUCGCCUCUGUGUGUCUGUUUGUCCAUCUGCCUGUUUCUCUCUCAGGAUGAGAAGACAAGACAAUCAUAUGAAUAUGAAUCAUGCGCAGCAACUCCCAACAUCAUGGCUGGGAUUUUUACUAUUAUACCCCACAGACAUGCUUGGAAGAAGUAAUUAAAGAAAUCUUUCUCCUCCCUCUCAUAUUCUUCUAAAAUCAUCAGAAGCACACUUCAAGAGCAUAAAGUAUGUAGGGCAACUCAGUGAUAGCUUGUGUGUAUGAGGAGAGCGAGAGAGAGAGAGAGAGAGAGAGAGAGAGAGAGAGAGAGAGAGAGAGAGCGAGAGAGAGAGAGAGAGAGAGAGAGAGAGAGCAAAGCAU